UUUAAUGGCUGGUGUUCUAACGUAGACCCGUAAUCCGGGUUGCGGACAGUGUCUGGUGGGUAGUUUGACUGGGGCGGUCUCCUCCCAAAGAGUAACGGAGGAGCACGAAGGUUGGCUAAUCCUGGUCGGACAUCAGGAGGUUAGUGCAAUGGCAUAAGCCAGCUUGACUGCGAGCGUGACGGCGCGAGCAGGUGCGAAAGCAGGUCAUAGUGAUCCGGUGGUUCUGAAUGGAAGGGCCAUCGCUCAACGGAUAAAAGGUACUCCGGGGAUAACAGGCUGAUACCGCCCAAGAGUUCAUAUCGACGGCGGUGUUUGGCACCUCGAUGUCGGCUCAUCACAUCCUGGGGCUGAAGUAGGUCCCAAGGGUAUGGCUGUUCGCCAUUUAAAGUGGUACGCGAGCUGGGUUUAGAACGUCGUGAGACAGUUCGGUCCCUAUCUGCCGUGGGCGCUGGAGAAUUGAGGGGGGCUGCUCCUAGUACGAGAGGACCGGAGUGGACGCAUCACUGGUGUUCGGGUUGUCAUGCCAAUGGCACU
rnacentral:rRNA from 1 species